rnacentral:misc_RNA from 1 species
GACGAACCGUGCGAACGUUAUUCGGAAUCACUGGGCUUAAAGGGCGCGUAGGCGGGCCGGCGAGUCAGAGGUGAAAUCCCCCAGCCCAACUGGGGAAGUGCCUCCGAUACCGCCGGCCUCGAGGGGGGUAGGGGCAUGCGGAACUUCCGGUGGAGCGGUGAAAUGCGUAGAGAUCGGAAGGAACGCCGGUGGCGAAAGCGGCAUGCUGGACCCCUUCUGACGCUGAGGCGCGAAAGCCAGGGGAGCGAACGGG